UGAAAAAUGAAAAUGUGAAGCAACAGCUAAAAUUUCCGAAUUGUCUCCAGUUUAAAAUUGAUAAACUCGAUUCAGUUGAUAUUUAGGGGUAUAAGCAAUUGUGACAACAAUUAAGUAUAUGAUCAUCUAAACCAGGCAUGAUUUACCCUCGUUCACUCCAAAAGAAAACUUCUGAUGGCAAGUCCUCACUGAAAAUAGUCUAGAGAAGUGAGUGAGCAGAACGUUUUAUAGAGAGCAUCAACAUCUCUGUCCACCAUUAGCAUUCCUCCCCCCUGAAAAAUAGCAUAUACCAGGUCCCUUGCACAUGCAUAUGGCUGCAGCAAAAUAUCAAUUUCACAAUUGAACUCGACACUCUAUCUACUGUCGUCUCUAUGCAUGCUUACUAAACAGCAACUCCCUCCCCUAAUGUUGUAGAAAUACAUGAAUAGCACGAGUGGAGCUUCCAAUUCAAUGGUUCUGCUCUAUGACCUCAGAUCCUGGCAACCCAUUUCCUCGAGUUCCUGGAGACAUAGGUGACAUGCCAGAUUCUGGGGCUAUCUCCAUAUUUGGUUUUGAAUCCACUGGCGCAGCUCCAGAAAAUCCAUCAACUGGUGCACCUAUAGACAAUGGAGGCAUCACAGAUGGAGGAGCAACCUGAAUGCUUGACAUUCCUGGAUCUGGAUCCAUCUGAUCGAACUUACUUUGGCGAGGCCUCCUUUGAUAUCUAUCACGACUACGACUACGACUGCGGCUGAGGCUGCGGCUGCGGCUGCGGCUACGCCUGGGGCUGUAGCUGCGGCUACGGCUUCGGCUGUAACUCCUACUAUAACUCCUGCUUCUGCUGCGACUCCUGCUUCUGCUUCUACUACCCCAUGUUCGAACUCUCUCUGGACUAGGACUAUAACUUCUUCCUCGACUCCGACUUGGCAUGUCUCUUCUAUUGUCAAAACGUCCACGCCCACGACCUCUCCCACGUCCUCGCACAUCUGAACUGUCAUAACGAUCACUCCUGUCCCAAGCACUUUGAGCACCACCCCUGCCACCACGGCCACCAAAAUUGUUGUCCCUCAUCCCAACACGGCCACCAAAGUGACCAUCCCUUCCACCGCGGCCACCAAAGUUGCUCUCCCUUCCACCACGACCACCAAACCCACCAUCUCUCAUCCCACCAGGGCCACCAAACCCACCAUCUCUCAUCCCACCAGGG
rnacentral:misc_RNA from 1 species